GAAAUUUGCGGUUUGCUAAGUGGUUCGAGCGAUGCUUGCCUGCGGCCGGGGCGCUUCCCGGAGAGGCUGGGAACUGAGGGGUGGGAGGUGAAUUCCCUUCCCCACCCCCACCCCCACCCCCCGAGUGAAAGGUUCAUGGGGAAGUGUCCCAAAGACAGUAUACUUGACUUUGCCUGUUCCAAACU
rnacentral:lncRNA from 1 species